AUUUAAAUAGCUUAUAUAAAGAGUAUAAUAUUGAAGAUAUUAAGGAGAUUGAAUAAUCUUUAAAUA
rnacentral:tRNA from 1 species